UAAUUAAUAAAAAAUCAGUAAGACAUACUGUUGACCUGAGGGCACUAACAAAGACCCCACCCCCUACUGCCAGCACUGCAGAAAAGACCGAAGCCAUAGAAGAGAACAUGUUACUAGUAGUUGAAUCAGCUCGAGCUAUUUGUUGCUCUGUUACUGAUAAUAUGGUGGAGGAACUAACAAGAGGAGACAAAGGAACAAUUGAUAAACUAAUAAUAAUAGAAUUAAAUCUCAUGUAGUCCAUAUUUCUGGUAUGGAGGAUGAACCUUCAAGUACUUUUAAUGAUUUGAUUACUUUAAUGUCUAAACUAGGACUGGACUAUACUGAUAGUGAGGAGACUAAUGGAGGAACUAGAACUGACUCAAGUGGAGGAGGAGGAGAAGCCAUACAGUACUGGAUCAUGGAGGGAGGACAAGAAAACACCAAAAAUAGAUCUCAGUAAACCUAGUCUUGAUGCUAAUUUUUUAUAUGAAGAGAGGGCAGCCAUUAGAAGAGCUAAGAGGGAGAGGAGAAAAAAGAAAGAGAAGCACUGGCUGUCCCUAAAUAAUGAA